UGAUCAGAGAGGGUGAAAAUCCCGUAGGCGAAAUUGAUGAGAGGCUGGCAGGAUCCAGAGUACCACGAGACACGGGAAACCUUGUGGGAAGCAGGAGGGACCACCCUCCAAGGCUAAAUACUCCUCAGUGACCGAUAGCGCAUAGUACUGUGAAGGAAAGGUGAAAAGGACCCCGGGAGGGGAGUGAAAGAGAACCUGAAACCCUGUGUUUACAAGCUGUGGAAGUGCCUUAUGUGCACAACCGCGUACUUUUUGUAGAACGGUCCGGCGAGUUACGUUUACUGGCAAGGUUAAGCACUCAAGGUGCGGAGCCGAAGGGAAACCAAGUCUUAAGAGGGCGUGAAGUCAGUAAGAGUAGACCCGAAACCGGGUGAUCUACCCAUGUCCAGGCUGAAGCUGCCGUAAGAGGUAGUGGAGGGCCGAACGCACAUCCGUUGAAAAGGGUGGCGAUGAGGUGUGGGUAGGGGAGAAAUUCCAAUCGAACCCGGAGAUAGCUGGUUCUCCUCGAAAUAGCUUUAGGGCUAGCCUCGAUGGAGUCUUACGGAGGUAGAGCACUGAAUUUCUAAGGGGGCGUCAAAGCUUACCAAGGGAUAUCAAACUCCGAAUGCCGUAAAGAUGCUCAUCGGGAGUCAGACUGCACGAGAUAAGUUGGGCAGUCAAAAGGGAAAGAGCCCAGACCUGCUGCUAAGGUCCCAAAGUACGUGUUAAGUGGAAAAGGAUGUGGGAUUUCGAAGACAACUAGGAUGUUGGCUCAGAAGCAGCCACACAUUCAAAGAGUGCGUAAUAGCUCACUAGUCGAGAGGUCCUGCGCCGAAAAUGUCCGGGGCUGAAACACGACACCGAAGCACAGGAUACCG
rnacentral:rRNA from 1 species